GACGAACGCUGGCGGCGUGCUUAACACAUGCAAGUCGAACGGAAAGGCCCUGCUUUUGUGGGGUGCUCGAGUGGCGAACGGGUGAGUAACACGUGAGUAACCUGCCCUUGACUUUGGGAUAACUUCAGGAAACUGGGGCUAAUACCGGAUAGGAGCUCCUGCUGCAUGGUGGGGGUUGGAAAGUUUCGGCGGUUGGGGAUGGACUCGCGGCUUAUCAGCUUGUUGGUGGGGUAGUGGCUUACCAAGGCUUUGACGGGUAGCCGGCCUGAGAGGGUGACCGGCCACAUUGGGACUGAGAUACGGCCCAGACUCCUACGGGAGGCAGCAGUGGGGAAUAUUGCACAAUGGGCGGAAGCCUGAUGCAGCAACGCCGCGUGCGGGAUGACGGCCUUCGGGUUGUAGACCGCUUUCGCCUGUGACGAAGCGUGAGUGACGGUAAUGGGUAAAGAAGCCCCGGCUAACUACGUG
rnacentral:rRNA from 1 species